GCAGCAGAGGUUCAAGGUCAUCUUUGGUUACACAGCAAACCUGAGGCUAGACUGGACUGCAUGAGACGCUAUCUCAUUUUUUUUUUAAAGGUCAGAUUGUGUUGUUCUUUAAGCAAGCCACUCUCUGCAUUGCUUGAAGCUCCUUAAUGAAUGUGACUUGGACUGUCCCAGAGGGCACUUACUCCUUCAGCCCAUCAUACCAGAUCAAGCUGCGCUUCUCUGAUGAAGUACAUCAUUGUCUUCCUCAGCUGCAACCCUUGAGCCAGUGAUUCCAUUAUAUCACGUGGCUUUCCUCUGGCCCCCGUUCAUUCAUAUCCACACAAUGUCAUUUGUCGUAUGAAGGGAUUUGCCAUUCAGGAUCGCAAGUCUUGUCAUCCUGGGUAGCUCUGCGUUGCUUUAUCUGAGCUUGCGAAACGGCUCCGAACGUGAGCAGUCAGAAUCAAGUCCUGUUCUUGCCCUUCAUCACACUUGGCACGUUCUCUUUCCGGACACAUCCAGUGGAUAUUGUGCAGACUUUCUCCAGCUAAUCUCAGGAAGACUGAAGUUUUUAGACAGCCACCCUUCAUAUUUAGGGGAUGUAUUCUUCCACAGAUCCUGAGGAAACCCUGAAUGAAGUCCAAUCAGAUCAUUUGCCCCUUGGUGCACAUUGACACUACUCUCCGUAGGGUUUGACCUACCUUCUCUGAGGAUAGCAUCCAAAAAAGAGAUCCCACCACGUCUGCUGAUCCUAGGAAUGGGAUAUGGCUGCGUUUUAGAGAGAAAGGAGAAAAUUGCUUUUCCAUUCCAAAAGUAUAAGACUAUGACUCACGCUGGAAUUGGUUCAGGUACUGGCUGAAAAAAAGAUCCAGAUUGACAACAAAAGCUAAGGGCUGGGAGGAAGACAAGGUAACAGGUUAGAACUCAGAGAUGUGCAUGUAGGCCCUUAGGUCCACUGGAAAGAUACAAGGGAGUAAGUUAGAGGCGCAUUUUAAAACAGCGGAGUUACUAAUGUAAACAAAUCAACCGAAGAACCACCUUCCAAGUGAUUUUCAAGAUCCUAGAUAAUCAGAGGAACUCCAAACUCCAAACCCCGCAAGUGAAGGGGAAAUCCAAAGAAAACGAACCUAGCCUCGUAAACAAAGUGGAAAUUUCCUUCUGUCCAAAGGCGAGACAGUUCCAGCCGUAGAGGAAGGAAAGGGCGAAAACACAGUUCUGCCUGAAAUGACCUCCUAUUUUAAGAAAAAUCAACAGCCCCAAAAGGAGGAAAGGAAAAACAAAGUUCCACCCAGAAGGAAAUUGUAUGUAAACAGCCCGAAGGGAACCGGAGGUCUGAGAGGGCUAGUACAGGGAACGGAGCAAGCAGGGAAAGGCGCCAUUAGCCUCUGACAAUGUCAGCCCUGAACUUUGCAAGGACUGCUUUGUGAUUGACAAAAAACUGCUUGGGGGUAGGAGGCGCCAGACAAAAGCAAGUCCCCUCUGCAGCACGGAAACUUUGAUCUUUGGAGUUUGCUAUUUUUUCCCCCAGGACUUUGCUAGUGUGUAACUCGGGGAAGACCAGCAACCACAAAUGUUGGCUAUAAUUUUCUGCAAUUUGUCACAUGCCCUCUUAGAGCCCUGGUGAGACGGUUUUCUUUGUUUUCCCCCCCGGCUGCAUCCUGUAUGCUAGCAAGGUAGUUCAAAAAAGAUAAGAGGAAUCCUCCUUCAAUGCUUACAGUUUUGGGGCUACAUGAACCCACAGUCCAGUGUGUGUGUGUGUGUGUGUGUGUGUGUGUGUGUGUGUGUGUGUAGUGUGUGUGUGUGUACGCACGCACACGCACCUUAGCAAACUUGUGCUUCAGGACACCAUUUACAUACCUUUAUUUUACAUUACAUUAUAUUAUAUUUUAUUAUAUUUUAUUUUGUUUUUAAACGGGAUCUCUAAACAGCCUAGAGCUUACUAAUUGGGGUAGUCUGGCUGGCCAGUGAGCUCUAAGAAUCUUGUUGCCAACUAAGACAAGGAAUAGAGGUGUGUAUCACGGCACCCUGGCCUUUAUUUUGUUUUAUUUCAUUAAUAAUAUUUUUAAUGCGAAUUCUGGGAACUCCUCCUGCUUAUAAAGUGAUGGUUUUACCAACUGAGCCGCCACCCCAGCUCCGAUGGGCCUAUUUUAAUUUUAUUUUUCUAUAAACACAUUUGUUUGGCCCAGACAGCAUCUAAUCCACCUUUGGGUCUAUCGCUUAAGAAUCAAGAGAUUCCAUGAAAAAUUCGUAUUUUUUAUUUGCUGCUGACAUUUUUGAUAGCAUAGAUAUUAAGCUGAUAUAGGGGUGAGAUCUUCUGGGGCUGGGUACCCAAUGCCCUGUUCAGGUUGGACUUGCACGUGAUAACUUGACGUUCCAUCAGUCGACUUGUUUCUGUCAUGUCUUGCUGGGCCCUCCCAUGGGAGUUCAUAUCGGUUUCCAAAUUGGUCCGUAUACAUCCCUAGGAAUUGUCCUUGUUUCAUCCAGGGUGCCACAGACUGCUAGGGACAUUAGGUCUGCUUUUGAACCUAGCAUAGCGUUGUUUUGUGAUGGGUGUUCUCUGUGAGAAGAGAGGGAAUCCAGCGUCUAUGCCCACACUGCUUCAGUCUGUAAGCUAGGUCCAGAGUGAAUCGCAGCAGUCUUCUCUAAGACACAUCCCCUACAUGUGAUAGUAUUCACUCUAAAUCUCUAUAUGCAGAAUCAUAUUGAUGCUACAGAAAUCUCUUUCUUGUCAGAGACUUUCUAGGUAGCAGCACCUGGGACAGUUCAAACAGAGCCCAAAGUGAGCAAAAGGGAACAGCCCAAUACACUAUGUCACAUAGUUUAGUACAAGCCUAUGGAGCAAUAAUUUGUUCAUCCAUCCAUCCAUCCAUCCACCCAUCCAUCCAUCCAGCCAGCCAUUCAUCCAUCCAUCCAUCCAUCCAUCCAGCAUUCUUUUAGCUAUAUUCUCAGACUUAUUCUCAGCCUUAGAAAACGGGCCUGCAGGCAUUCGUCCACUCCAACUGUUUUUUGUACAAUCUCAUCAUGGUUCUUUACCUUGGUCAUUUCUGCAAUUCAGUGGAGACCAGUAUAUAACCAACCCUUUCACACAAAAUGGCCUGCCAGAAGCCCAGGGGUGAGCUGAUUUUCAAAGGUCUCCAACCCUUAAGUGAACCUCCUUUGGUGCUUUCAGGGAUUCUGUUGUUGGAGCCACAAGGACCCUUAAGAAAAAUCCUUGGGGGCAGCUGGUCCCUGCUGUCAUUGAAACCCAAAGGAGGAACACCAUGGGUGAGGAACUGCUGCCUGGAUGUCAUGAGGUUGCUUGUAUUUCAAAAGAACUCAGCUUACCACCUCUGUGGCUUUUAGCCUCUCUAAUAAAGCAGUUUUUAAAAAGCUAAAAACGUAAUCUGCCUUUUAAAUCUGCUGUUCCUGCCGAGUCUAAAUGGGGUUGCAGCAAAAUGCCCAGCCAGCAUUAGAGCUCCCUGAAGUCAAUCAACUGAAAUGCGGUUGCUUGGGGGGCUGAAAUAUAUUUGAAAACACUCUGGGGGUGGCACAAAAUAACUGAACAAAGGCGAAUUACACGAAAGGAAGAAGCAGGCAGAGGCUUCUGAGGCAAAAGGAUCCCUUCUGAGUUCUUGAAAGCAUGGAAACUGAGGUAGGGGUCCCGACCUUAACUAUUGAUCUACCUCCUCAGAAUAAUGUUUUUUUUUCCUUUUGGCAUUAGAAAAAUAUUAUCACAGUGAAUGUUGCUUCAAAUUUGAAGCACAGACUAGCCAGAAAUAUGCAGACUGUUUGAGUAAAUGCCCUAACACCCUCAGAGGACAGGCUGAAAACAAAGAUGGGCUUGACUGUAAAGUCAUCACGCAGCCUUUCAGGGGUCACUCUCACACGCUUUCCUGAUCCCGUUAGGAAAGUACAAGAAUUCUCAGUGACUUGGUUGUUUGCUAAGGGGAACUCUAGUUUUCUGUGUAUCCCAUUGAAAAUAAGUCAACAUGAAGAAAACUAGGAAGAAAAUCUGCUAUCAAUAAACUAGUUUUUAAAAACAAAGACACCUACAAAGAAAGUAUUAUCUUCUUAAUAAUUUUUUGAAAGGAUGGAUGUGGUUUGUGAAAAGAGUGAUGUAUGGUGAUUUAUGGUGGCGUAGAAGUCCAUUUUGGAUUACCUAACAAACAUAACCUAUCUGACAGGGCUAGUUUGUUCUAUCUUCAGUGUAUAUCUAGUGGGAUAUCAAAGAGAGAGGGAACAGAAUCCACCUCUUAAUAAAUUAGCAUUAGAUUUAAAUGGGUUGCCUUUAGAUUGUAUGUGGACCAAGUGAAUUUUAUACUUAGAUAUAUGGAAAGGACAGCAAUAGCAACACAGGAGGGUACUUGAAGGUACCUCUCUUUGAUUUUCACUCUACACAAGGUAUGUAGAGAAGACUAUGUUGCUAGAAAUUUUUUUUUUCUUUGUUGGAUGACACUGUGGAGGUAGAAGCUUGUAUGUACUUUUUCUUCCACUGUGCAAUUGCUUGCUGUCCUUAUAAGGCCAACGAGAGCUCUGAAUGCACAGACACAAGAGUGCCACGUUGAAUGUCCCAAGACACAAGGGUGCAGUGUGCAAUGACCCAGGAUACAAGAGCACAGUGUGCAAUGUCUCAGGACACAAGGGUGCCUCGUGCAGUGCUGUAGGACACUUGAGAAGGUGGGUGCAUUUGAGAACAAAUUGCAAGGGAUUGAAGCCUUGGUUUGGGUAAGAAUGGAAAAAUCUAGAUGCUUGGCCAAGGCAGUUCUGAAGGACUUUGAUCCGGAUAUCUCAGGAGAAUGAACUUGAACCAUGCCAGCAUUCUCUGGUUUUGGACAGGCAAAGAAUAUAGUAAAGAAAUAAAUAAAACCCAGAAUUUUUAAUGGGUUUUUAGAACUUCCACUUCUGGCUGCAAGUGGGAGACAAAAGGCAAAUAGAUAUUGUCCUGAAAAUGCUAAGCCAGGAUUUUUUUUUUUUUCUAACCUCAGAAAAACACUGGGGUUUGAUGAGGUUCAGCUUUGGGGCAAGUUUCAGGACAGUGUUUGUUCUAGCAACUUCCUCCCUUCUCUGUGGAAAGUCUGUUGGAGUCUGUUGUGGUUCUGGAGGCCAAGCUCUGAGGGCUCUAGGCUUCAGUGUCAUGAGACGGGCUCCAAUCUGUCAUUUGUGUCUCUGCCCACACUUUCCUCAGUGUGUUUUUUGGACCAAGGCCUUCCCAGACAAGUCCCUACAUGAAGGAGAGCCCAGACCCUUUCUCAUCCAGUUCUUUCUGGAAGAACCUCCAUGUUUAUGCCCAAUCUCCCAGAAUUCCCUGGAUAUACCAGUCUCUGCUCCCUUAGAAGGGUGAUGCCCCUGUUUCUGCCAUAGUUGUGUCCAAUUCCACCAUUAAGGAUGUGCCUUGGAUCUGGGGACAUUCCUUAUAUGUUGACUCAGGGCAGAAGCUGCAUAACACUUUAACUCUGGAAAAUCAUUAUUGUCUGGGUCCUAGAAUUCGGGAUAUAUCUUCCCACCCCCCCCCCCCGGAAAAAAUGGUGAUGUUUGCUGUAAAACAAGAAAGAAGAAGAUACUGGAAUGUCGCAGGAAUGCAGCACCUGAUUUUGUGGGUGGAAAGUUUUAAUCUCAAGGGCCACAAAAUAAAAGAAUUUUUUUUGGAAAGAGGAUGGAGAAAAAAUAUUAUUUUUUGGCCCUUAAUAUGCUAUAAAACUCUGUGCCACAGUGUUCAUGUAGGGCCACAUUUAAAUUUCACGCCCGUGAUAUGAUUUAUAAUUCACACUGUCAUAAGAUUGUUGGAUUUAGCUCAGAGCAUGGUAGCCAUCUUCUUCCACUGCAUCCACUCCAGUCAUAAUCAAUGUUUACACAUUUGCCUACAUUCAGCAAAAUACACAAUAAUGCACUUUCUAAGAUACAUUGUUAAAUUCUGUUUGUCUUAGUAAAGGGAAUAUCAAAUUUAAAAGUUUUUAAAGUCUACUGUUCUACGAGUUCUGAAUUUAUUCUCAGGAGAUGCAACACCAGGGACUGGAACUUUUUAAUCUUUAAUUUAUUUUUGCACCAGAAAACUAACAGUUUUCUGUACUGACAUUUAAAGUUUGAAUGGUACAUUAGUGUAAUUUUCAAGAUUUCAACAUGAACAUCGAUUUCAUAUUUUUUAAAGACUACAAAAUUACUUCUCUUUUUGGGUAUGAUAAAUUCUCAUUGCAGCACAGAGUUCUUGUUAAAAAAAUCUUUUGUAGAAUUCAUAUGCUAAAUAUCAAACCAGGUAAGUGUCAAGCUUUGUAAAAAUAUAAGGAAAUUAGUGCUUUCAAAUUUAUUAGCAUAUAGAAGCAGGAAUUUUGUGGCAUGCAUUUGAAUACUAAAAGUUUUACAGCGCUGUUAAAUGCAAGACACAUUCGACGACUCUUUUGAAUGUGGAAAUCACCAAGCUGGGUGCUGUGAGAGACUCCCUCUCUCUAGAUACUUAGUACAGUUUAAUACACCAGGAGUCAACAGCAUUUUCUGUAAAGGGAUAGAUGGUAAAAAUGCAUGGCUUUGUAGGUUACAUGCUCUCUGUACUUCACUUUGUUCUUACAGAAUGGCAGCUACCAUAGACAAUACACAAAAGGAUGAUGGUGACAGUGGUUUAAUAUUAUUUUGUGAAUGCACACUAAAAUUUUGUAAUUUUUCACAUAUCAUCUUAAAGAUAUAAAAAAAAAGACAUUCUCAGCUUAUGGACCACACACAAGAAGGAAAUGGGCUGAAUUUGUUGUCCCAUCUUUGGAAUACAUACAUACAUACAUACAUAUAUAUGGUUUUAUAUAUAUAUAUACACACACAUAUAUGAGGUUAGUAUUGUUAUCAUACAUGUGAUUGACAUAUAGGGACUAGGAAAUUGAGUUUGGGAUUUCACAUUAAAGGAAAAAUUCAACUUUGCUAGAGUUCUCAGAUAAUUUGACUAUAAGCAAAGACUCCGAGUGUGACAUUCUACUGUUCAGAUCCCUUCCAUGGCUAGAUAGUACAUUAUAAAUGAUAAAGAACAGUAUUGAUGGAAUACGUUAUGCGGUAGUGCUUUCAAAUACAGCCAUACCCCAUUUUGAUUGUGCUUCAUUAUACAACAUUUGAUAGGCAAGAUAUCCCAUGCUUUCGGUAGACAUUGAAGGUUUGUGGCAACUUUGCUGUGAGCAAAUAAGUGGGCAUUGUUAUCCCAGAAGCAGUGCUCACAUGUGUCUGUGUCAUACCCUUGGAGGCUUGUUUCUUGAAACCUGACUGUGGUGGUGAGGGAGUGAAGAAAGACUAGACACACAAGCAGAAAACCCUGGGGUAAGGUGGGCUGCACUUGCACUAUUGAAGGUGCACCAACUGUGACAACCAUUUGGUAUGUGUGGCACAGGGAGGAAGAGUUUGCCUUAACUGGAGAUCUUUGUAGCGAAGCAUUCUCAGCCCGUAGUCAUGCAGGAGAAGAAGAUGCAGUCACUAAUUCUUGUACACACUGGUCAGUCAUUGGUAAACGAUCAUAUGUGCACACUGUUUGCGUUUGCACACAGACCAGAGAAAUGUUUUGCCAAUCGCCUGAGUUGAACUGGGGUAAAGCUUUUGCUCCUAUGGCUCUGAGCCAUUGGGGUCCUUGACAUGGCUCUGCCUGUUUCAAGAUCCACAUUCACUCAGGACUUCAUCUCUCCUUUUGCACACCCACUCAAGGCUUUUUUGGCUCUUCAUACUUGGUAGGUCUUGUAAUGUUUCAAGCUUUUUCAUGGUUAUUGUGGUGACCUGUGAUCUUUGAUGUCACGGUUUUAAUGAUUUGGGAGUGGCCAUGGAUUGCAUCCACUUAAGAUAAACUUCACAAAGCUGUAUGUGGGCUCUGCCUGCUCCAUCAACGGGUUAUUCUCCAUCUGUAUCCCUUUUAUUGAGAUUUCCCUUUUCCUAGCAUGCAAUAAUAUUGGAAUUAGAUCGAUCAACCCUGAAGUGGCCUUUAAGUGUCCAGGUGCAAGGAAGAGAGUUAGCCUUUAAAUCCAAGGUUAGACAUAAACUUGGGAAGGAAAGAGUAAGAACAGCUAGGCCAGGACCUCUGCACCAAUGGAGAGACAGGCAGUGAAAGCAAAGAAGAAAAGUUUGAUUCUAGUUUAUUCUAAUGGGAAGAGGGCAAACCAGCCUGACUGCUGAGGUGGAAAGUCUCAGUAGACUGGAAGGGAGCCACCAUAAUAUUCCCAUGAGUCAACGCCUAAUGCAGAACAACACCCUACCUAGUUUCGCUUCUAAAACCUUUAAAAAGUGAGGAAUCUGCUGAAGAGACGUGUGGAGGUAACACAAACUGGUUGACAAGUUUUAGGGAAGGAAGCCAUCUUGAUAACACAAAAGUGCGAGAGUGGGGAUGCGGCAGUGAGAGAUGAUUUAGAACUGAUGCAUUUCUGGAAGAUCUAGCCAAGAUCAAAGGAAGGUGACUGGCUAAAACGAAACAAUAACCAUCUUUCCAUGUGGACAAAAUAGCCUUCCUCUGGAAGAAGACACCAUCUGGGGCUUUCAUAAGUAGGUAUAAGUCAAAGUCUGCUUUCAAAGCUUCAAAGGUCUAGGAAGCUCUCGUAGAGGUUAACGACUUUUAGUUGAAGCCACUGCUCUAUUCUGCAAGCCCCGGGGGGCCCUUGACUGUUAUACUAUGGCCACUCUGCUUGUUCUCUACAUAUGAACACCAAAGCCUGCACAGCUGCUCACAGGACUGACUGAAGAAUUUAACCCCUGUAUUGAGACUCACUGCUCAGAAAAGGGAUUCCCUGCACGAGGUCACCCAAGAGCUGAAAAUGUGCAGUGACAGGGAUGCUGUCAUGUCUCGGAUCUAACUCCCACUCAUGCACAUGGAGAAACUUGACCUUUCAAACCCUUGUGUUUAAGGCACGCAUCUCCGUGUAGACAGCAAUCCUGCUGAUGGGAAGAAAAACUGAACACCUUCUGGAAAGAAUGCUAGGUGCUGUUAAAGUUUUUGUUUUUGUUUGUUUGUUUGUUUGUUUGAUUUAUCAGAAGAGGUCAAAAUAUUAACACUAAAAAGGGGUCGGAAGAAGUCAUUUUGAACUUUCAUGGGUGAUGGAGAAGAAAUGGAGGCAUCGGUGUAGAAGUGACUGUAGAUGUGGUGGAAAUAGCAACAGAACUAGACACAGAGCCUGGAGAGAUGCUGAGUUGCUGGAAUAUUUGAUAAAACUGGGGUGGAGGGGGCUCUGCUUCCUACAGCUGUGCGAAGAGAGCACACGCAUCAGUAUGUAUGGUGGUGAAAUGAAAUAAAAUUUGGGUGACUCUCCAAUCUCUCCUUCCCAGCUACAAUUAUGAAUGUAUAUAUAUUUUUGAAAAAGUCAAUUCUUAAAGUGGCCUUUUGUACUUCAAAAUAUGUGGGCUGGUUUUUGUUGUUGUUGUUGCUAUGGGUUUUUUUUCCUUCCUUUCAGACAACCAUAUACAUAAUAGAGGUAAUAGUGGCUGGAUUUGUAUGUGUUUGCUUCAUUCCAGAUCGACUGAUUUUAAUUGUUAUGUCCUCAAGCAGCAGGAAUCACUGGUACUAUUGAUGUAGUUCAGCCUAAUGCCUUGCUAUUUUAUGUGGAAGUAAUUGUGGAUUUGGUGUUUAACAGGAAAAAAGAAAAUGGCAUCUUGAGCUGGAAUAGAUGCCCGCUGAAGGUGCUGUGCAUAUUGAUGAAAUGACAAUAAGAGACUUAGAAUAUCACCUUAGCUUUAUAAAUAAAGCAGAGGCAGAAUUUUGAGGGGACUCUACAGUCACCAAGACUAUAACUUACGCAGCUCACUUUAUCGUAAUAUUAACUUCAUGGUGAUGGCCUGUAGUGGAACUUCUGGUGUCGCUGAGGUAUGCACGUUUGCUUUUAUUUGUUAAAACUCUGAGAACGAGGGAUUGAUAUUUCAGUUUUUCUAAUAGGCUAGUUUGAAGACCCAGGAUGGGUGUGAGUACAGGUUUACAGCGCUUCUUUACCCAGUCCAGUGACUGAGCAUACUGAUGGGCUCCCUUUAUCUUACUUGUUCAUUCUGUCUUUAUUCCUCUUUCUUUCUUUCUUCCUUUCUUUCUUUCUUUCUUUCUUUCUUUCUUUCUUUUUUUUUUUUUUUUUUGGUUCUUUUUUUCGGAGCUGGGGACCGAACCCAGGGCCUUGCGCUUCCUAGGUAAGCGCUCUACCACUGAGCUAAAUCCCCAGCCCCUUUAUUCCUCUUUCUUAUUGGUGCUGGGCAAGGUUAGAAACUCUCUUAUGGUCUCAUGGUUUUGUUGUCUUUAGUUUUGCCUGUGCCAACUGCCUUUUUCGUGGGUCUUUAAUGCCUAAGUUAAACUCGAGUUCAUUCUCUAAGUCUUCUAUGACCUUCCCACAAAAAUUCUCUUUCUUCUGGCUUUGAUGGCAUGUUGUAUCUUCAGAAGCCCAUUUGGUCCCAUUUAGGUGAGCAAGUGUAUGUUUUGUAUAUCCUGUUAGACCAUAAUCUCCUUACAGUAUGAAUCUCCUUUUAACCAUUUGUAUCCUCUACAACAUCCAAUUCAGUGUGCCUCAGUACUAAAGUAAACAAACACCAGGCAGGAUUCAGUUCUCACCAGUAAGAGCUGUUAUUGGAGAAGUAUAAGAGAAUAAUUGGUUAUAGUCGUGUAAUUGGGUUCAAUAUAUUUUCAUUGAAGUCUGUAGAAUGUAUGCUUUCACUCACUCAUUAAUUCAUUCAACAACUGUGCUUUGACUAUGAAAACAGCAAAUUUCUGUUGGGGUUUCAUAAUUGUGAGAUAAUUUAGAUCUUAUAAUUUGUGUGUGUGUGUCUGAGA